UGCUUCACCCCCUCCCUGCAGUGGGGAGAAAGUUAACCACGCUUUCCGGAGACUCCAGGGAUGACUGUUCAUUUCUGAGAGGCAACUGGGGACUGGCAGUCUUGGCUGCCUGCUGGUGGCUAUUAUGCUUCUGGGUGGGAGGGUUGAGCAGCUUCCCCAACCUCAUAAGCUUCAGCCAUGCUCUGUGGCUGACCUUGUGCCAAUUCACUUCCUGUAACUGGUAUAUUUUUAUCUCAUCCUUGUAAUCAGCGACACCAACUGCAUCUCCAGCUGCAAGGAAGAAGAGAACUUCUGCCAGAUCAGUCAGCACAGCGCCCGAAGAUAAACUCUGUAUAGUCUGUACCUGAGACCUUCUUGAGUCAAGUCCUUUGCCCAGAUGAGCCUGGGGUGCUUUGAUCUGGACCCAGAUCCCUCCCUCGACAGCACAGCCCAAGAGUCCAGCCCCAAGACCCGGGUCCUGGCUCCAGUGGCCCUUCCAGUGCUGGGCUGCAGCAUCAGCCAGGCUUUUUUUCCUGAGGUGCUGAAAGCAAGAAAACUGUCUUGUGAACCAACAUUUGCAUUUCUUACAUCUCUAGAUUUAAGUCUCUAAGGACACUUGAAAUGUCAGGGCCCUUGUGACAGCAGCCAAGCUAUUAGCAGGUCCCCUGCGGCUGGUGAGUACCAGUACUGAGCAAGUAACAAUUCCACAUGUGGAAUCAUAGAAUCAUAGAACAGUUUGGGUUGAAAGAGACCUUAAAGAUCAUCCAGUUCCAACCUUGCUGCCAUGGACACAUUCCACUAGGUCAGGUUACUCAAAGCCCCAUCCAAUCAGGCCUUGAACACCUCCAGGAACUGGGCAUCCGUGACUUCUUUUGGCAACCUGUUCCAGGGCCUCACCACCCUCACAGUAAAAAAAUGUCUUCCAAAUGUCUAAUCUAAUUGUACCCUCUUUCAGUUUAAAGAGUCAUUGUCCUGUCACUGCACUUCCUCAUAAAGAACCGCUUCCCAUCUUUUCCUGUAGGCUCCUUUUAAAUACUGAAAGGCAGCAACAUAGCAUAUUUUGUCCCACAUCAGUUUAAACUUUUUAAUUUUCUGUGUCCAUGAACCACAUAAAGGAAGAUCUCACUGCCUUGUUACUUUAGUGUUGUAUUACAUGCACACCUGCAGUAAAUACGGGAGACACAGAUCUGUUUGUUAGUUUCUAUCUGUAAAUUCUAGCCCAGAAAAUUAGGGACACCUGCAAGACCAAUCCACCCAAAGUCAAGAGGGAGCCUUUAAGGUGAAAGGUUUUCCAGAACAAGCCUUCUCAUUGCAAAAGGCUAAAUUAUUGCUCUCAUGUGAUUUAUAGUGCAAAGGCUUUCAGUCUGACAGAGGACCUGGAAUAUUCAGCAUUAAUUCAGAAACAGAGACACAUGUUGUUGAUACACUAUAUCGCUGCAGAAUAUAUAGUACCAGAGUACCUGCACAUACUUUACACACCAAGAGAUUAUCCUGAAUGUGCUAUUAAUGUAUGUACAUAUAUUUGCUAUUAUUGGCAUAAUUCACAAGCACAAAAUGAAUGUAGCUUCAACAAAGCCCUCUAGCUGCUCCAUCAAUUACUCUUCAUUUUCUACCUGUGACUUGUAUCUGCUUCUAUCUUCACAGAAACAAUACACAAUGAGAGAUGGGCAUAAAUUAAUUUAUGGCUUCACCACAAAUUAAGUCUUAGGGUAUGUGUAUGUAAUCUUUAGCAUUGCAAUGAAACUACUCAAGACAGCAAGGUUCCUCACUGCACAGAAAGAACUGGUGUUCAGUCUUGAGUGCCUGCAGCACUUCUCCCCAGAGAAUGGCUGGACAGACCCGUGGCCCAUUUCCUAUUCACAGCCUAGAAAAAAAUGUGCCUCCUAUGAGAAAGCCCAGACCAUCUUAACCCUCACCCAGAUAUAUCAGCAGUUUGAAUGUUCUAACCUUAGUUGCUCCUCUCUGUUCUCCCUGACCACCAGUUCAGCCUUUGCACCUCUCCUGCCUCUGGAGUCCACAACACCAAGUUGGUGAAGAGUCUAGAGUGAAAAUCGUAGGAGGAGUGGCUGAAGUCACUUGAUCUGUUCAGCCUGGAGAAGAGGAGAUCGAGGGGAGACCUCAUAGCAGUUUACUGCUCCCUCACAAAGGAAGGAGGAGGAGCUGAACUCUUCUCUCUGGUGACCAACAAUAGGACCCGAGGGAAUGGCAGGAAGAUGUGCCAGGGGAGGUUUAGGUUGGAUAUUAGGAAAAAGUUCUUCACUCAGCCAGUGGUGGAGCACAGGAACAGGCCCCUCCUAGAGAAAUAGUCAUGGCACCAAGUCUAACAAUAUUCAAGAAACAUUUGGACAAUGCAUUCAGACACAUGGUGUAAAUUUUGGGGUAGUCAUUUGCAGCAAUAAGAAUUGGACUCGAUGAUCCUUGUGGGUCCCUUCCAACUCAGGUCAUUCUGUGAUUUUGUGAUUCCGUUACACCAGUGCUUGCUUACUGGUUUGAGAGACUGCCUGCUAGCAGAACAGACCAGCACUAAGCCCUGUAACUCUGUGUCCCAUGACAGUCUCCUUUCUUGCCCCAAAUCUGCACCUUUUACCCCUGCCCCACAGGGAACUGGAGCUGUGGCGGUAGCCACCAGAGAUGGAAAGAGUAAUGAAAUGUACUCAACACAAUGCUGGGAGAGGCCUAGGAAGAUUAGGGUUUAUAUGUCUGUUUUCCUAACAACCUCAUGCAGAUUCUCAGCACUGUUAGUAAAUACCUCAUGCUACCACAGGAAGAUUUGACAUCCCAGAGCCUGCUUCUGGGAAGCACCGUGUGCCCCUGGAGCCACCCCAGCGCUUAGGCAUCCUGGCAGCACUUGGGAUGCCACAGGAUUGGGCUCCCCAGCUUAGAUCAGAGGGCGCAGUCCAGGGUAGCACAAAAAACAAAGGGCGAAGCUACAGGAAUGUAUAUAAGGGAAAAAAAUGACAAAACAAGGCAUGCCAGGAUUACUCCCGACUGAGGCUCACUGAAAAUGUAAUUAUGACCCAGACAAUUUUGCCAGCACUGGUAGUAGCUGGGACAAGCAUUUGGUCUCAUUUUUUUGUACCAAAAGAAGGCAUGGAGUUCUGCGCGGAAUAAUGUUAAGGGUUGAUUGAUUGCAGAUUAAGAGCCUGAAUAAAAGCUUAAUGACGUCAAUGGAAAGAUUCUCAUCGGCUUGAGCCAGCCGCAAGACACUGCUCGACUGGUGCAACGGGAGGCUUUUUUUUUUUUUCAAAAUGCAAUUGUUUUAAUAUUAAAGCUUCUGUUGGACAAACAGAUCUCAUAGAAACAGAAAUUAAAAGAGACCCUGAACAAAAGAACAGAUUUAGCUGCCCAAGAUUGCUAUUUUAGUGUGUUUGCAUGUUUACAUGAUGUUUCACAAUAGUGUGUUUUACUCUUUGCAUCACAUAGAGUGAAAGCUCAAGGAUGCUGGCGGACAGUUAGCUUUCUGAACUUGGGAGUUUCCCUAUGUAAAAGAGGUCUUUUUCAUACAGCAAAUGAAACAUUCUUUAUAAAGGUUUUUCUAUGCCUCUAAGGACCUGCCUGCUGUCAGGAAAAUAUUUACCAGCCCAGAGUGAUUCUUUUAGCCUCCACACUCACAGGACCGUGUUGUGCUUGGCAUAGGCGUUAUUUGCAGGAAAGACA